rnacentral:sRNA from 1 species
GCUGGGUAUGGUGGUGCACACCUGUAAUUCCAGCUACUGGGGAGGCUGAGGCAGAAGGAUCAAAAAUUCAAGGCCAGCCUGGGCUUAAGGAGACCCCGUCUCAA